CUUGGUCAUUUAGAGGAAGUAAAAGUCGUAACAAGGUCUCCGUAGGUGAACCUGCGGAGGGAUCAUUACUGAGAAAGGGCCUUCGGGUCCGACCUCCAACCCCAUGUUUUCUGUCCUUGUUGCUUCGGGGGACGAAGCCGCCUCGCGCGGUGGACGCCCCGGAGAACCACUAAACUCUGCAUCAUUUGCGUCUGAGUAUUAUUUUGAAUAAAUCAAAACUUUCAACAACGGAUCUCUUGGUUCUGGCAUCGAUGAAGAACGCAGCGAAAUGCGAUAAGUAAUGUGAAUUGCAGAAUUCAGUGAAUCAUCGAAUCUUUGAACGCACAUUGCGCCCUUUGGUAUUCCUUAGGGCACACCUGUUCGAGCGUCAUUAUCACCCCUCAAGCCCCGGCUUGGUGUUGGACCGCGUUGUAGACAUUGCCUGCAACGGGCCUCAAAGACAAUGACGCCGUCCCAGAGGGACCCGGUACGAGGAGCUUCUAGUUAAGCAUGUACGCGGGAGGACUCUGCGGGCGACGGUCUUUUUUACUUAUUUUUCUUCUUAAGUGUUUGACCUCGGAUCAGGUAGGGAUACCCGCUGAACUUAAGCAUAUCAAUAAGCGGAGGA
rnacentral:rRNA from 1 species